rnacentral:rRNA from 1 species
AAACCAGGAUUAGAUACCCUAUUAUUUUAGGCUUAAAUUUUAAUUUACCUGAAUANUAAUAGUUAUUUUCUUUAAACUCUAAGAAUUUGGCGGUAAUAUAUUUUUUUAGAGGAACCUGUUUUUUAAUCGAUGAACCACGAUAUUUUCUACCUUUUAAUUUGUUUGUAUACCUCUAUUUAGAAUGUUUUUUUAGGAUAUUUUCUUUUACUUUAUCAAGCUUUAUUUUAGGUCAAGGUGCAGUUUUUUUAAGGUAAACAUGGGUUAUUUUUUUGAUAUAUAACUAUUUUUAGUUGUAUUGAAUUUGGAUUUAACAGUAAAUU